ACUACUUCUCUAACAGGCACAAGGGUUAACAAACUGAGCAGGAAAACAUUCAGACACCGCGACCACAGAGCCCAACCUUACAUCAGAGAACCGUGUGUGUGGAGGAGCAGGACCAUCCCGAAUAACGCACACUACAAGACUGCAGAACAGCACCCCUCCUCAUAAUGAUCAGGACACCGUACGAUUCCAGACGUUUUUGGAAUGUUUAAGCAGUAUCGACCUCCCAGAACAACAAA